rnacentral:tRNA from 1 species
CCCUCCAUAGCUCAGUCUGGUUAGAGCUGCGAUCUUUUAAAUCGUAGGGCGGUGGUUCAAAUCCAUCUGGGGGGA